UCUCCUGAAAUCCCACAAUGCAUUGCAGCAGGUUAUGCUGCAGUAUAUAACUGCGCCUUAUUCACUAGCAGUAAUGGAAAAAUCUGUCUCUUUUCAUUGAUUCAGCUCACCAAUAAGAGUCGACACUUUCAGCUCCUAAACGGCUCGUUCCCAAGUCCGUCUAAAAGGGGCAGUUUGCAAUAUUGUUGCCAGCGAUUGUUCUUUGUUGGCUGAAAUUGCAUGUUCAAACUGCAUUUUAUCAAAUGUAAUUAAAUAAUUGUUGGCCUAAAUCAUCAAGUCACCACAAAUCAUUAACAAAGGCCGCAUUGUUGUUGUUCCGCUUUAGUUUGGAUCAUUAAGGAGAUUUAUUUCCAUUUAUCCUGAUAAAGGAUCGCUUCCCAUCCCCUACAAACAGUUGAGAUUCAAACACAUGCAGCUUGGAUGUCAAAAAGAGGUUUCUAAGGAAGAAGUUAAGCUGUCUGAUGAUGAAUGAAUGUAAAUAAAUAAAUGAUAAAUGAGCACUGACAUAUCCUUUAUGUACAAAAGGGAAAAAAAGAGCCAUCUCAGAGAUUCACAAAAACAGACUCAUCACUACUAUAUAGUGCACUAAUUUUGAAGUAGAGGUGGCCGAUAUCACAAAAAUAUCAAACCCUCCAUCCUACUCGACCAAACUACUGUUGGAACUCUGCAUUAUGGUAGGUAGCGUUCUCCUGGUAUCCACCAAGCCCAGAUUCAUCCAUCAGACUACCAGAUGUGACGCAUGAUAGAUCACUCUAGAGAACAUGUUUCCACUGCUCCAUUGGCGGCGCUUUACACCACUGCAGCCGACGAGUGGCAUUGCGCAUAGUGCACAUAUUCUUGUGUGCAGCUGCUCAGCCAUGGAAACCUAUUUCAAGAAGCUCCCAACAUCAACUUGUGCUGAUGUUGCUUCCAGAGGCAGUCUGCAACUCUGUAAUGAGCGAUGCAUCAGAUAGAUGAUUUUUAUGCGCUACACACUUCAGCUCUGUGAGAUUGUGUGGUCUACCACUUCAUAUCUGAGCUGAUGUUACCCCUAGAUACUUCCUUUUCACAAUAAUAGCAAUUAGAGUGCACCAACUGACUGGUGGCAAAGGUGGCAUCCUGUGUCAGUGCCAUGUUUAAAGUCACUGAGCUCUUCAGUACAAACCAUUCUGUAUGGAGAUUACAUGACUAUAUGGCUGAUUUGAUUUUAUGUGGCAAUGGGUAUGGCUGAAACACCUGAAUUAGUUGGGGUGUCCACAUACUUGUGGCCAUGUAGAGUAUAUUCACAGUAUGUAAUUCUUAUAAGAAUAAUGAUGAUCCAGAAAAUACAUCUUGAAACUGGACUGAGACAAAACCGAUCCCAAUAAUAUCCCCAAUAUUACAUCAAUAUUAUAUCAUCCAGCACUAAAGUGAUGUUUCGCAAAUUGUAGCCAUGUAGAAAUCCUACUCCACACUGUUGAGGGAUUAAAUGAUGUAUUUUAGGGAACAGGAAGUGGGUAUCCACCUCUCUUCUGAAGUCCCACAAUGCAUUGUAGUAUAUCAGCCUCCCCAUGAUGAAGCCUUGAGGAUACAGAGCACCUACAGGACACUUCGGCACAGGCAGCGUUCACUAUGUGGGGCACCACAAGUAUUGCGAAUUUUCUAACUCAUACCUGAAAACCGACUCUUGAAAUCCCACAACCUUCCUUGUGCCUGGAAUGGUGCCCUACUCUAUGUCUUGUAGAAAAAUGCUUUGUGGGUAUUCCACACCAUUCUAGGGUAGAUUAUUUCAUUAUUUGGAAUUUCACAGGAUUUUAUUUAAUUGUCUCUGAAAACGAAACAUGCUAAACAUAAACAAACCAAAACACAGUGUCAUCUGUCAUAGUGUGCAAUUUGAGCAUUGGGACAUUGGACAAUGUGUGCUUAGUCUAGCUAUAUUUAGUUUCUCCUCCAAAGGCAAUCUUAUGAAGUAAAUAAUUCACUUCAUUCACAUUCAGCAUAUCACAUGCGCCAUCUCAAUCACUGUUGAUGACGUGAUAUGGACGUGUCAGCAAAUCAAGAUCCAAUCUAGCAGAAGGCGGGCCACUGUGUGUGAUAAAAACCUGAUGUGAUGGUCACUGAUUGAUAGUCUGGGCUGCUUGAGUCUACAGUCUGCACUGACAUGACUGUGCAGCGAUGUACAUCUCGAAUCACAUAACCAAGUCUGCCGACGACACGACCGUGGUGGGUCUCAUCAGCAAGAAUAAGGAGUCAGCAUACAGAGAGGAGAGAGGCUAACGGACUGGUGCAGAGCCAACAAGCUGUCUCUGAAUGUGGACAAAACAAAAGAGAUGGUUGUUGACUUCAUGAGAACACGGAGCGACCACAUUACUCUGAACAUUGACGGUUCCUCGAUGGAGAUCAAAUUCCUCUGUGUUCACCUGGCGGAAAACCUCACCUGCUCCCUCAACACCAGCGCCAUAGCCAAGAAAGCCCAGCAGCAUCUCUAGUUUCUGCAAAGUCUGAGAAAAUCCCAUCUCCCACCCAUCAUCUUCAACACUUUGUACAGAGGGACUUUCGAGAACAUCCUGAGCAGCUGCGUCACUGCUUGGUUUGGAAAGUCUCGGAUCGCAAGAACCUGCAGCGGCUAGUGAGGACAGCUGAAAAAACAGUCAGGAUCUCUUUUCCCUCCAUCAGCAUUGUGGAUGACCAGACACACCACAUACAAACUCUUCAUCCGCCUGCUCUCUGGCAAACGCUCCUCUACACACCUGAUCCAGCUCACCUGUGAAGCAGGUGAGUGUUCCUUUGGUGCUGGAACUGAAGUAUGAAGAUAGCCAUUCUGGCAGGCUACUCCGUUACAAAGAACCUCAAUGGAUGGCAUUGAGACAGAAGAGUGAAGGUUGUAACAUUUCCCUGGACCUGAAGUGAAGCUCUCCGUCCAGCAGAAAGGAGUGGACGAAUGAAA